rnacentral:piRNA from 1 species
UGAUAUUAGAUAAAGUUAUAG